GCCAGGCACUGUGGCGUACGCCUGUAAUCCCAGUAACCUGGGAGACUGAGGCAGGAGGAUGACAAGUUUUGAGGCCAGCCUGGGCAAUUUAGUGAUACCCUGACUCAA
rnacentral:sRNA from 1 species